AUUGAACGCUGGCGGCAGGCUUAACACAUGCAAGUCGAGCGGGGUGAUGGUGCUUGCACUAUCACUUAGCGGCGGACGGGUGAGUAAUGCUUAGGAAUCUGCCUAUUAGUGGGGGACAACAUCUCGAAAGGGAUGCUAAUACCGCAUACGUCCUACGGGAGAAAGCAGGGGAUCACUUGUGACCUUGCGCUACUAGAUGAGCCUAAGUCGGAUUAGCUAGUUGGUGGGGUAAAGGCCUACCAAGGCGACGACCUGUAGCGGGUCUGAGAGGAUGAUCCGCCACACUGGGACUGAGACACGGCCCAGACUCCUACGGGAGGCAGCAGUGGGGAAUAUUGGACAAUGGGGGGAACCCUGAUCCAGCCAUGCCGCGUGUGUGAAGAAGGCCUUAUGGUUGUAAAGCACUUUAAGCGAGGAGGAGGCUCUUUUGGUUAAUACCCAAGAUGAGUGGACGUUACUCGCAGAAUAAGCACCGGCUAACUCUGUGCCAGCCGCCGCGGUAA
rnacentral:rRNA from 1 species